CACCGCGGUUAUACGAGUAACCCUUAUUAAUAUUUUCCCGGCGUAAAGAGUGGUUUAAGAAAAAUCUUAAACAACUAAAGUUAAGACCUCAUCAAGCUGUUAUACGCUCUCAUGAGCGGAAUUAUCAACAACGAAAGUGACUUUAUAAUACUAGAGACCUUGAUGCCACGACAGUUGGGCCC
rnacentral:rRNA from 1 species